AUGCACAGCGACAAGAAAAUAACCAGGGAAGACACAUGGAGACCAGCUGACCUGAGAAGACACAUCAGGGAGGACGGAGGUGGUGAUGAGAGAAAGCACCGUGGUGGGGAGUCCACAGAGAGACGCCGCAGAGAAGAGAAAGAUUCCAGGCGAGAGAGAGACAAGCAGAAGGAAAGGGAGAGUACUAGAGAGAGGAGAGAUGAGGAUGAGAGAGACAGACAUGCAGAUCGACGAAAGGAGGGCUCACGGGACAGGAGAGGUGAUAAGGAAAGGGAUAGAAGAGAUGAUAGGGAUAGAGAGAAGAGAAGGGAAAGGGACCGGGUAGUAGACGGAAAGAGGUACGAUGAUGAUUACAAAGAGAACAGAGACAGAAGGCGAGAUAAAGAUGAAAAGCACGAAAGAGAGAGGGAUAAGGAAAGCCACAGAUACAGGGAGAAAGAGAGGGAAAGAGACGGAGAGAGACGCCACGAGGAGGAGAGGGAAAAAAGGAGGGAAGAGCGAGACAGGGAAAGAAGGAGAGAAGAGCGGGAGAGAGAGCACAGGACUGAGAAGGAGAGGAGGAGACAUGAGGUGAGCGGAGAAGGAGAAAGAGAUCGGAUAGAAAGGCACGAAAGGGAGAAGAGAGAGCGACAUAGAGAGAGAGACAGGCGCAAAGACGAAAAUGAAGACAAGAGGAAUGGCAAAGAAAGACGAGAGAGACAUGGAGACAGAAAGAAUUUGGAACUGAUGGAGGAAAGAGGUAAGACCACAAGAAUGUGUAAGCCAAGACUGCCAUGUUUAUAG
rnacentral:lncRNA from 1 species